ensembl:lncRNA
CAAAAUUAAGAUAAUAAAUGUUUCAAUUCAUAAUGUUAAUGUAAAAAAAAAAGUAAGUAUAAAAAGUACAUAUUUACAUAUUCACUUAACACUUUACAAUAAUGUCCCAUUAGGUAAUGUUGGUUACAAAUAUUUCAUACAGAAAAGCAAUGCAUAAACAUACAAAUGAAUGGUCAUUGGAAAAAAAAAUAUAUCACAUUUUUAAUACAAAAAACAAGUUUUGAAAAAUGGACACUUGUUUAAGGCAGACCAUUCCAAAGAGAUGGGAUGAUUUCACAUAUAUUAGUUAAUAAAGUCUUCACUUUCUUUAUCUUCUCUUAACACCAGCUUUAUUUCAGAGGGAGGUUAGAGGGGUUUCCUCCUGAGACCGGAGAGGAACAGAUUGUGGAAUUACUAUUGGGCUACAGGAGUACUGGACCUACAGGCUUCUGGCACAUGAAGAGUCACUGGAGCAUAUGUCGCCAGCACGAUUCAUUCAUUUAAAUUUAUGGAGUGGAAGUGGGCCAGGUAGCGCACCACAGUGACUGUCAACAGCACCUCCAUCUUCACAAACUUCACGUACACCGGUCCCAUCAUCCUACCAUAUGUCCCGCGAAACACAAUUUCUAAUGGACAAGGACAGCUGUAUCAGGCCCCUAAAAUCAUUCCCACCUCUCGCCCCACUGAAGCUAUGGCCCUGCAAACACAAUGGGUCAGAGUUUUAUUUCAGCAGGUUGUCACUCAGGUAAUCAAGUGGGACCUUUCACUGCAAACCAAUCAGUCUCAGUGAGCCCUAUUUGAGCAGCAUUAGCCAUCCUUCCCCUGAGCAUUACAUCAUUCUGAGGGACAACCGAGCCAAUCAACAGCCUGGCAGGAUUACACAGCAUAUGGGCAUGUCCUGACUGUGUUGGAGAACUAAACAGAGCAGCAUGAACAUUCUGCUUAACAUCUCUUAUUUCUCACUGGAAGAAGAAAGUCAUACAGGGUUGGAACAACAUGAAGUUAUCAAACUGAGCUGAACUUGAAAGCUGUGGCAGAAUUACAUAAUUGCAGACAAAUGUGGUACAAGCGAGAGAGCUGGAGAGCAGAAUGUGUUUAAAUAUUUAAGCCUCAUCAGUGAGAGCCUAAAGGCUUUGAUAAACCCUCUAGAGCUCUGAACUUUGAGAAGAAUACAGUUUUCCUUGCUUUACAAAUGCAGUUUUGUGUCUUGUCAUAAAGAGAAAUAAGAACUACA